rnacentral:rRNA from 1 species
GAUGAACGCUGGCGGCGUGCCUAAUACAUGCAAGUCGAGCGAACGGACGAGAAGCUUGCUUCUCUGAUGUUAGCGGCGGACGGGUGAGUAACACGUGGAUAACCUACCUAUAAGACUGGGAUAACUUCGGGAAACCGGCGCUAAUCCCGGAUAAUCUUUUGAACCGCAUGGUUCAAAAGUGAAAGUCGGUCUUGCUGUCUCUUAUAGAUGGAUCCGCGCUGCAUUAGCUAGUUGGUAAGGUAACGGCUUACGAAGGCAACGAUGGAUAGCCGACCUAAGAGGGUGAUCGGCCACACUGGAACUGAGACACCGUCCAGACUCCUACGGUAGGCAGCAGUAUGGAAUCGUCCGCAAUAGGCGGAAGCCUGACGGAGCAACGGCGCGUGAGAGAUGAAGGUCUUCGGAUCGUAAAACUCUGUUAUUAGGGAAGAACAUAUGUGUAAUUAACUGUGCACAGCUUGACGGUACCUAAUCAGAAAGCCACGGCUAACUACGUG